rnacentral:SRP_RNA from 1 species
GCCAGGCGCGGUGGCGUGUGCCUGUAGUCCCAGCUACUCGGGAGGCUGAGGUGGGAGGAUCGCUUGAGCCCAGGAGUUCUGUGCUAUGCCGGUCGAGUGUCCGCGUUAAGUUUGGCAUCAAUAUGGUGACCUCCCGGGAGCAGGGGACCACCAGGUUGCCCAGGAGGGGUGAAGCGGCCCAGGUCGGAAACUGAGCAGGUCAGAACUCCCGUGCCGAUCAGUAGUGGGAUCACACCUGUGAAUACCACUGUACUCCAGCCUGGGCAACAUAGCAAGACCCCAUCUCU